UACAGAGGGUGCAAGCGUUAAUCGGAAUUACUGGGCGUAAAGCGUGCGUAGACGGUUAUAUAAGUCGGGUGUGAAAGCCCCGGGCUCAACCUGGGAAUUGCAUUCGAAACUGUAUAGCUCGGGUGCGGAAGAGGGAAGCGGAAUUUCCGGUGUAGCGGUGAAAUGCGUAGAUAUCGGAAGGAACACCAGUGGCGAAAGCGGCUUCCUGGUCCGACACCGACGUUCAGGCACGAAAGCGUGGGGAGCAAACAGG
rnacentral:rRNA from 1 species